rnacentral:misc_RNA from 1 species
GAUGAAGAACGCAGCGAAAUGCGAUACGUAAUGUGAAUUGCAGAAUUCAGUGAAUCAUCGAGUCUUUGAACGCACAUUGCGCCCCCUGGUAUUCCGGGGGGCAUGCCUGUCCGAGCGUCAUUGCUGCCCUCAAGCACGGCUUGUGUGUUGGGCCUCCGUCCUCCUCCCGGGGGACGGGCCCGAAAGGCAGCGGCGGCACCGCGUCCGGUCCUCGAGCGUAUGGGGCUUCGUCACCCGCUCUUGUAGGCCCGGCCGGCGCUUGCCGACACAUCAAUCUUUUUUCCAGGUUGACCUCAUAUCAGGUAGGGAUACCCGCUGAACUUAAGCAUAUCAAUAAGCGGAGGA